UGCCUCGGCUGAUUCCUGGACGAGGGUUCACGCACAUGUAAGCGUUUGGAAUUUUGGAUAGAAAUUCCGGGCGUGACAACCUUACCAACCCUUGACAUGUGAACAACAAAACCUGUCCUUAACGGGAUGGUACUGACUUUCAUACAGGUGCUGCAUGGCUGUCGUCAGCUCGUGUCGUGAGAUGUUUGGUCAAGUCCUAUAACAAGCGAAACCCUCGUUUUGUGUUGCUGAGACAUGCGCCUAAGGAGAAAUUGUGGUACGUAGUGGUAAUAGUACGUGCCCCGCUCCGAAACAAAGAAAAAGGUGCGUGCCGCACUCACGAGGGACUGCCAGUGAGAUACUGGAGGAAGGUGGGGAUGACGUCAAGUCCGCAUGGCCCUUAUGGGCUAGGCCACACACGUGCUACAAUGGCAAUGACAAUGGGAAGCAAGGCUGUAAGGCGGAGCGAAUCCGGAAAGAUUGCCUCAGUCCGGAUUGUUCUCUGCAACUCGGGAACAUGAAGUUGAAAUCGCUAGUAAUCGCGGAUCAGCAUGCCGCGGUGAAUAUGUACCCGGGCGCUGUACACACCGCCCAUCACACCCUGGGAAUUGGUUUCGCCCGAAGCAUCGGACCAAUGAUCACCCAUGACUUCUGUGUACCACUAGUGCCACAAAGGCCUUUGGUGGUCUUAUUGGCGCAUACCACGGUGGGGUCUUCGACUGGGGUGAAGUCGUAACAAGGUAGCCGUAGGGGAACCUGUGGCUG
rfam:Oryza sativa (indica cultivar-group) chromosome 4, whole genome shotgun sequence.